GAUGAACGCUAGCGGCAGGCCUAAUACAUGCAAGUCGAACGGCAAGAGUUUUAGCAAUAGAAUUCCUAGAGUGGCGAACGGGUGCGUAACGCGUAUGCAACCUACCCUAUACAGGGGGAUAGCCCGGAGAAAUCUGGAUUAAUACCCCAUAGUACUAAGUUGAGGCAUUUUGAUUUAGUUAAAGAUUCAUCGGUAUAGGAUGGGCAUGCGUCUGAUUAGCUAGUUGGCGGUGUAACGGACCACCAAGGCGACGAUCAGUGGGGGUUCUGAGAGGAAGGUCCCCCACACUGGCACUGAGAUACGGGCCAGACUCCUACGGGAGGCAGCAGUAGGGAAUAUUGGGCAAUGGACGAGAGUCUGACCCAGCCAUGCCGCGUGCAGGAAGACGGCGUUCUGCGUUGUAAACUGCUUUUAUCUGGGAAGAAAAAGUCCAUGCGUGGAAAAUUGCCGGUACCAGAUGAAUAAGCACCGGCUAACUCCGUGCCAGCAGCCGCGGUAAUACGGAGGGUGCAAGCGUU
rnacentral:rRNA from 1 species